rnacentral:lncRNA from 1 species
GGCCACUAAUCCUAACAUAGACACCUUGGAGGGAAAGGGUCUAAUAAAUAUUGCAAUCUACAUGGAGAGAAUUGGAGACCAUAUGUUUGAUUGAAUAUCUGUAAAUUGUGAAUGGGAAAAGUACAUGUUGCUAGAGAUUGUUGGUGGGGAAUUAGAUCACCCAAGGCAUUUAACCCACGACCCCCAAAACUACUGUAAAGAAAAACAGCACAUCGCUGAACUUGCUCUCUGAGAAGCUGAAACUAUAGGCCCGAGGUCGACGUCAUUUUUAGGAGGUAACUUGAAAAGCAGAGCUGGAGAUAAGGAUUUGUUUAUAAGUAGUAGUUUCUGUAGGAGGUGAUCCCAGGAACUGUUUGCAAGGAAGAAACGGAUGGAGUCAAAAUAUUUUUUGUCAUUAAGCACCUUAUCAUUGUGGGCAAGUGGAGCCUGUUCUUCCAGGAAAUUUUGAGCCAAUGUAAAAAAUGAACCUGUGUUCAUCUACUCUAACCACCCAGAGAUGAGACAACGGGUACUGACACAACAUGUUCUCUCAGUUACUGGCUGAAAAGUGCUGAGUUGCAGAGAAUCGCAGAUGUGAAUCUCUGGACUCUUCCAAUGUGCUGCUCUCAUGGACAAGAACUUUGGUGGCCAAAGCCUUAUGUGAUAAAUACAGCUGCUAGCAUCUGGAAUUCAAACCAGCAAGUUCUAAAGUACUAAGGUCAGGAGGCUAUAGAGGAAGAAAGGACCAGAAAUAUCUGAAACAAAUGCCAAUAUUCUGUGCAGUUAUUUUGCACAGUGAAUAAAUAAGAUGUUCAGUGUUCCUGUGAUAAUUUGAAUUGAAAAAAAGGUGGGGAGGGGAAAGUGAUAAUUGCUGAGCUCAAGAAAGGCAUGGGGUGGGUGAGAGAAAUCAGUGAGAAAGUAACUUGGCAUUGGACCGAGUUAAGGGGGAAAGCACAG